rnacentral:rRNA from 1 species
UACGUAGGGUGCAAGCGUUUAAUCGGAAUUACUGGGCGUAAAGCGUGCGCAGGCGGUUUUGUAAGCCAGAUGUGAAAUCCCCGGGCUUAACCUGGGAAUGGCAUUUGGGACUGCAAGGCUGGAGUACGGCAGAGGAGACUGGAAUUCCUGGUGUAGCAGUGAAAUCGUAGAAGAUCAGGAGGAAUACCGAUGGCGAAGGCAGGUCUCUGGGCUGAUAC